rnacentral:rRNA from 1 species
UACGUAGGGUGCGAGCGUUGUCCGGAAUUACUGGGCGUAAAGAGCUCGUAGGUGGUUUGUCACGUCGUCUGUGAAAUUCCGGGGCUUAACCUCGGGCGUGCAGGCGAUACGGGCAAUACUUGAGUGCUGUAGGGGAGACUGGAAUUCCUGGUGUAGCGGUGAAAUGCGCAGAUAUCAGGAGGAACACCAAUGGAGAAGGCAGGUCUCUGGGCAGUUACUGACGCUGAGGAGCGAAAGCAUGGGUAGCGAACAGGAUUAGA